rnacentral:rRNA from 1 species
AGAGUUUGAUCAUGGCUCAGAACGAACGCUGGCGGCAGGCUUAACACAUGCAAGUCGAACGAGAAGCCACCUUCGGGUGGUGGACAGUGGCAGACGGGUGAGUAACGCGUGGGAACGUACCUUUCGGUUCGGAAUAACCCGGGGAAACUCGAGCUAAUACCGGAUACGCCCGCAAGGGGAAAGAUUUAUCGCCGAAAGAUCGGCCCGCGUCGGAUUAGCUAGUUGGUGGGGUAACGGCCCACCAAGGCGACGAUCCGUAGCUGGUCUGAGAGGAUGAUCAGCCACACUGGGACUGAGACACGGCCCAGACUCCUACGGGAGGCAGCAGUGGGGAAUAUUGGACAAUGGGCGAAAGCCUGAUCCAGCCAUGCCGCGUGAGUGAAGAAGGCCUUAGGGUUGUAAAGCUCUUUCAGUGGGGAAGAUAAUGACGGUACCCACAGAAGAAGCCCCGGCUAACUUCGUGCCAGCAGCCGCGGUAAUACGAAGGGGGCUAGCGUUGUUCGGAAUUACUGGGCGUAAAGCGCGCGUAGGCGGGCAUUUAAGUCAGGGGUGAAAUCCCAAGGCUCAACCUUGGAACUGCCUUUGAUACUGGAUGCCUGGAGUUCGGGAGAGGUGAGUGGAAUUCCGAGUGUAGAGGUGAAAUUCGUAGAUAUUCGGAGGAACACCAGAAGCGAAGGCGGCUCACUGGCCCGAUACUGACGCUGAGGCGCGAAAGCGUGGGGAGCAAACAGGAUUAGAUACCCUAGUAGUCC